UGCUUGACAUUUGACCUUCCAGGCCAACGCAGCUGCCGAGUUCCGAUUCAGCGACGCCAAAGCUCCUUCCUUCAUCCACCCCACCGGCGACCAGCCAGGAAAUGGCGGAAAUGAGCUCCCUGCCGGUCACCGACGACCUCUUGGCGGAGAUCUUCCUCCUGCUGCUCACCCCGGCCGACCUCGUCCGCGCCUCCGCGGCCUGCGUCGCCUUCCGCCGGCUCGUCACGGACCGGGCAUUCCUCCGGCGCUUCCGCUCCCUCCACGCCCGGCCCUUCCUCGGCUUCCUCAACCACAACGGCUUCCACCCCGCCCGCCCGCCCCACGCCUCCGCGCCCGCCGCCCGCGCCGUCUCCCUCGCCGCGGAUUUCUCCUACUCCUUCCUCCCUUCCCACGACAGCUGGAUCGUCCGGGACGUCCGCGACGGCCGCGUACUCCUCGACCGCACCCCCGAGGACGACGCUGGCGAGGAAUCCCCUGUCUUCACGGAGCUCGCGGUGUGCGACCCUCUCCACCGGCGGUGCCUCCAGCUUCCCCCAAUCCCUGACGACCUGGCCGCUUCGGUGGAGCACCCGCUCCGCGUGGAGUUGGAGCGCUGGUGCGAGCCCUUCCUGGCUCCCUCCGGCGAGGAGGAGGCGGAAGAAACGUCAUUCAGAGUGAUCUGGAUGGCGCAGUGCAAAACGAAGCUGGUCGCCUUCGUCUUCUCUUCAAGCACCGGAGAAUGGCGAGCCGUUGCGUCUCAGGCCUGGGGCGAUUUGUUAGCGGGCACCGGCGUGUCGACGGCGUCGUCCAAGAGCCCUGUGUUCUUCGGCCGACAAUACGCUUGUGCUUGCUUCUACUGGGUCAUGGACUGGAGGCAGAAAUUGCUCAUGCUUGACACCAGGAGGAUGGAGUUCUCCAUUGCCGACCUCCCACCCGGCUGCCGAAGGCCACCGAUUGCCAUUGUGGAUGCAGGGGAAGGCAGACCUGGGAUGUUUGCUGUCCGUGAACACGAUGCAGAUGGCACAUUUAACCUCUACUACACCAUUAGGCAAAACGAAGGCCAGAGUUUCAACCAGUGGCAGAUGGAGAAGACGAUCCCAUUGGAAUCCGGUUACCGGUAUUUCCUGAGAGGUGCAACAGAGAGGUACUUGCUACUACUAAGAUCAGAAGAUGACUCCCCAAGUUCAUCAUCAUUAGAGAUGUCAGACUUGGAAUGUUUCUCACUGGACGUCAAGACAUUGCAGCUUGAGAGCGUCUGCAGGUUGAAGCAUCACAUCCUACGUGCGCACAUAUAUACCAACUUCCCACCAUCGCUGUCGUCACAGACAAUAUGAAGGGAUUCAGUGGAGUCAUAGUCACUAGCCAGAGCAGCCAUUUGAAUCCAGAACUCAAAGUGAUUGGUGUGAUCUUGUUGUAUGAAGUGUUGGGUUAAUUAUGUGGCCACAUUUUCAUGGCCAUCACAGCAGUUGUCAAUGCAGGUGUGCGUGUAAGAUGCACUAUUGUGAAUCGAUUGUGCAUCAGGGUUAUAAGUAUAUAUUAUUGUUUCCUGCUCAGAACAUGUAUGUCGUUUGGCCCUAGACAUGAGACUGAGAACAAUCUUUCGUUCUUCAAGACUUGUUAUGUUAUGAAAGAAGAACACAGGGAAAUACUGUAAUAUCGCCACAAAUUGUCCAUGCAGGACGAAAUUGCCCCCGGCUAUUUCUUGGUGAUAUGAAACGAUCGCAGAACGGAG